CAUGCAGGCGGUCGGGCAAGUAGGAUGUGAAAGCCCCGGGCUCAACCUGGGAACUGCAUUCUAAACUGUCCGACUAGAGUAUUGCAGGGGGAGACGGAAUUCCAGGUGUAGCGGUGGAAUGCGUAGAUAUCUGGAAGAACACCAAAGGCGAAGGCAGUCUCCUGGGCAAAUACUGACGCUCAUAUGCGAAAGCGUGGGUAGCAAACA
rnacentral:rRNA from 2 species